GACGAACGCUGGCGGCGUGCUUAACACAUGCAAGUCGAACGGAAAGGCCUGCUUUCCCUUGUGGAUUGCGGGUACUCGAGUGGCGAACGGGUGAGUAACACGUGAGUGAUCUGCCCCCAACUUGGGUAUAAGCCUGGGAAACUGGGUCUAAUUCCCGAUAGGACUGCAGGGUGGUGCCUGUGGUGGAAAACGAUUUUCUAGUGGUUGGGGAUGAGCUCGCGGCCUAUCAGCUUGUUGGUGGGGUAAUGGCCUACCAAGGCGGCGACGGGUAGCCGGCCUGGGAGGGUGGACGGCCACAUUGGGACUGAGAUACGGCCCAGACUCCUACGGGAGGCAGCAGUGGGGAAUAAUGCACAAUGGGCGGAAGCCUGAUGCAGCGACGCCGCGUGGGGGAUGACGGCCUUCGGGUUGUAAACUCCUUUCGACCGCGAGGAAGCCACCUGGUUGGAAGGGUGGUGACGGUAGUGGUAGAAGAAGCACCGGCUAACUACGUG
rnacentral:rRNA from 1 species